CGCCAAACAACUACGAGUAGUAACUUAAAACAUUAAAAGACUUGACGGUACUUCACMACAACCUAGAGGAGCCUGUCWAAUAACCGACAACCCACGAUUAACCCAACCCUAUCUUGCCAACAGUCUAUAUACCACCGUCGCAAGCUCACCUUGUAAAAGAACUAUAGCGAGCUCAAUAGUCCACCACUAACACGACAGGUCGAGGUGUAACUCAUGAAAGGGUCACAGAUGGGCUACACUCUCUUCCUAGAGAACACGAAUAACACCAUGAACAUGGUGCUUGAAGGAGGAUUUAGCAGUAAGAUAGGAAUAAACUACCUAACUGAACAUUUAGCAAUGAAGUGCGCACACACCGCCCGUCACCCCUGCAACCAUAAACCCUAACAUUCAUAAACCAAACCUAUAAUCUUCCCCAGGGCAAGUCGUA
rnacentral:rRNA from 1 species